rnacentral:rRNA from 1 species
UGAGGAAUAUUGGUCAAUGGACGCAAGUCUGAACCAGCCAAGUAGCGUGCAGGAUGACGGCCCUAUGGGUUGUAAACUGCUUUUAUAUGGGGAUAAAGUGGGGAACGUGUUCCCUUUUGCAGGUACCAUAUGAAUAAGGACCGGCUAAUUCCGUGCCAGCAGCCGCGGUAAUACGGAAGGUUCGGGCGUUAUCCGGAUUUAUUGGGUUUAAAGGGAGCGUAGGCAGUUUGGUAAGCGUGUUGUGAAAUGUAGGAGCUCAACUUCUAGAUUGCAGCGCGAACUGUCAGACUUGAGUGCGCACAACGUAGGCGGAAUUCAUGGUGUAGCGGUGAAAUGCUUAGAUAUCAUGAAGAACUCCGAUUGCGAAGGCAGCUUACGGGAGCGCAACUGACGCUGAAGCUCGAAGGUGCGGGUAUCGAACAGG